UUCUACUGCCAUAGCACCCUUAACGCGCCUGAUCUCAUCUGAUAUCGGAAGCUAAGCAGGGUUGGGCCUGGUUAGUACUUGGAUGGGAGACUGCCUAGGAAUACCAGUAGCUGUAGGCU
rnacentral:rRNA from 1 species